UACGUAGGGGCCUAGCGUUGUCCGGAAUUACUGGGCGUAAAGCGUGCGCAGACGGUUGCGUAAGUCAGAUGUGAAAGCCCCGGGCUCAACCUGGGAAUUGCAUUUGAGACUGCGUAGCUAGGGUGCGGAAGAGGGAAGCGGAAUUUCCGGUGUAGCGGUGAAAUGCGUAGAUAUCGGAAGGAACACCAGUGGCGAAAGCGGCUUCCUGGUCCAGCACCGACGUUCAGGCACGAAAGCGUGGGGAGCAAACAGG
rnacentral:rRNA from 1 species